rnacentral:rRNA from 1 species
GAUGAACGCUGGCGGCGUGCCUAAUACAUGCAAGUCGAGCGAACGGACGAGAAGCUUGCUUCUCUGAUGUUAGCGGCGGACGGGUGAGUAACACUUGGAUAACCUACCUAUAAGACUGGGAUAACUUCGGGAAACCGGAGCUAAUACCGGAUAAUAUUUUGAACCGCAUGGUUCAUAAGUGAAAGACGGUCUUGCUGUCACUUAUAGAUGGAUCCUCGCUGCAUUAGCUAGUUGGUAAGGUAACGGCUUACCAAGGCAACGAUGCAUAGCCGACCUGAGAGGGUGAUCGGACACACUGGAACUGAGACACGGUCAAGACUCAUACGGGAGGCAGCAGUAGGGAAUAUUCCGCAAUGGGCGAAAGCCGGACGGAGCAACGCCGCGUGAGUGAUGAAGGUCUUAGGAUCGUAAAACUCUGUAAUUAGGGAAGAACAGAAGUAAGAGUAACUGUGCACGUCUUGACGGUACCUAAUGAGAAAGCAACGGCUAACUACGUG